rnacentral:rRNA from 1 species
AGAGUUUGAUCCUGGCUCAGGAUGAACGCCGGCGGUGUGCCUAAUACAUGCAAGUCGUACGCACUGGCCCAACUGAUUGAUGGUGCUUGCACCUGAUUGACGAUGGAUCACCAGUGAGUGGCGGACGGGUGAGUAACACGUAGGUAACCUGCCCCGGAGCGGGGGAUAACAUUUGGAAACAGAUGCUAAUACCGCAUAACAACAAAAGCCACAUGGCUUUUGUUUGAAAGAUGGCUUUGGCUAUCACUCUGGGAUGGACCCGCGGUGCAUUAGCUAGUUGGUAAGGUAACGGCUUACCAAGGCGAUGAUGCAUAGCCCGAGUUGAGAGACUGAUCGGCCACAAUGGAACUGAGACACGGUCCAUACUCCUACGGGAGGCAGCAGUAGGGAAUCUUCUACAAUGGGCGCAAGCCUGAUGGAGCAACACCGCGUGAGUGAAGAAGGGUUUCGGCUCGUAAAGCUCUGUUGUUGGAGAAGAACGUGCGUGAGAGUAACUGUUCACGCAGUGACGGUAUCCAACCAGAAAGUCACGGCUAACUACGUGCCAGCAGCCGCGGUAAUACGUAGGUGGCAAAGCGUUAUCCGGAUUUAUUGGGCGUAAAGCGAGCGCAGGCGGUUGCUUAGUCUGAUGUGAAAACCCUUCGGCUUAACCCGAAGAAAUGCAUCGGAAACCGGGC